CACUUCGGUGUGAGUAAAGCGGCGGACGGGUGAGUAACGCGUAGGAAUCUACCUAGUAGUGGGGGACAACUCGGGGAAACUCGAGCUAAUACCGCGUACGCCCUACGGGGGAAAGCGGGGGACCUUCGGGCCUCGUGCUAUUAGAUGAGCCUGCGUUGGAUUAGCUAGUUGGUGGGGUAAAGGCCUACCAAGGCGACGAUCCAUAGCUGGUCUGAGAGGAUGAUCAGCCACACCGGGACUGAGACAUGGCCCGGACUCCUACGGGAGGCAGCAGUGGGGAAUAUUGCGCAAUGGGCGAAAGCCUGACGCAGCCAUGCCGCGUGUGUGAAGAAGGCCUUCGGGUUGUAAAGCACUUUCAAUUGGGAGGAAAGGUUCACGGUUAAUAACCGUGAGCUGUGACGUUACCUUUAGAAGAAGCACCGGCUAACUCCGUGCCAGCAGCCGCGGUAAUACGGAGGGUGCAAGCGUUAAUCGGAAUUACUGGGCGUAAAGCGCGCGUAGGUGGUCUGUUAAGUCGGAUGUGAAAGCCCCGGGCUCAACCUGGGAACUGCAUCCGAUACUAGCAGACUAGAGUGCGGGAGAGGGAGGUAGAAUUCCACGUGUAGCGGUGAAAUGCGUAGAUAUGUGGAGGAAUACCAGUGGCGAAGGCGGCCUCCUGGCUCGACACUGACACUGAGGUG
rnacentral:rRNA from 1 species